AACAUAAUCACUGCAGCCGCAACAUCCACUCACUCCACUCAAUCUCAAACUGACCAAAAUGUCUACCUAACAGCCAAAUAGAGCAGUAUUUUCUCUACUAAUUUGGUGACAUUCCAGCUUCCCGGAGUAGGCUACCCUUUAACCUUAAACCUGUCCUAAACAAAAGUGUUGCCUGAUCGAAGCAUUGGCUGGGCUUCAUGUUUUCACAGCAGUCGGGAUGAAAAGAUUUCCUUUGAGAGAAAGAGCCUCUUGUUCCCAGCAGGAACAGUGCUGACAUGAGAAAACAAUGGCAGCCUCUCAGUCUCUGCAGCAGUCGGUGCUGUGCAGAGCUGGAAUGUCACCAGCAACAUUUGCUCAAGUGCUUGACUUCACAGUUUUUGGUAAACUUGUACUUCACUAGAGUAUUUCCAUAAUAUGCAACUUAAUACUUCUACUCCACCACAUUCCAGAGGGAAAUAUUAAAUAUUGCACUUUUUAUAUUUAUUUGACAUUAGUAGACAAUGAAUACUUUGCAGAUUGAUUUUACAUGCUUCAUGUUACUCUACUAGUAUAGUAGAGUUACUUUAUGACCCUACACAUGCAACAACAUUAAAGUUCUGCUUACGGGUCAAUAUAUUAACAUGUAUUGACUCUCAAAGGGACUACUGUAUUGGGUAUCAUUUUCAAUGCAGGGCUUGUACUUGUAAUGAAGUGUUUUUAUUAUUUUUUUACUUUAAAGGGAUAGUUCAGGUCUUUUUAAGAUUGGUUGGAUGAGGUACUUCUCCAUAGUCAGUGUGUUAGCUACAGUAGAUGGCGGUCGGCACGCCCCCAGUUUGGAGAAGCAGGCAGGAGUACCGACAUGGAAGAUAAGCAAUGU